GACGGAGGAUGCAAGUGUUAUCCGGAAUCACUGGGCGUAAAGCGUCUGUAGGUGGUUCGAAAAGUCCACUGUUAAAAAUUGAGGCUUAACUUCAAAGAUGCCGUGGAAACUUUCAAACUAGAGUAUGGUAGGGGUAGAGGGAAUUUCCAGUGGAGCGGUGAAAUGCGUAGAUAUCAGGAGGAACACCGGUGGUGUAGACGGCUUUCUGGACCGUAACUGACGCUGAGACACGAAAGCGUGGGUAGCAAACAGG
rnacentral:rRNA from 1 species